AGUCCUACGUGGUCGAAUGGUAAAAACACUUACCUUUCACCCAUGGAGUCCCGGGUUCGAUCCCCGGUCGCGGAGCUAGGAUUU